CCCACAGAUUUUCUUUUGUUUUUGUUUUGCUUUGUCUUUUUUUAUUUUUUCUCCCUAGAGACUGUCAAAAAUUGGCAAUGCCGACUCUAUUGCCUGUCAUCACGGCGGGGUAUUGGGGAAUGUUUUCAGUUAGCGAUAAUCUCAUCUUGGAUAAACUUCAUUGGCUACGAUACUGCCACUGCACAAACCUCACAGAUUCUUUUUCAAGCAAGUGUUAGAAUUUACGUAACCAUCCAGUCUCAUGUAUAGAUGCCUCUGACCAGGCAAUAACCUUGCUACCUGGUGAGAAAAGUCAUUAUUGCAGCAACACUCCUAGAAGAGUUUGACUAAUUUUGGAGAUUCUCUGGGAACAAAUUUGCUUUAACUUUGGAUGGACACGGUGAGAGAAUAUGGAAUUAUGGUCUACCUGUAGAGGAAGAUUUUGGCCUGUGCAUCUGGAAAGCAGGCUCAUGUACUCACCAGGCUUAAUCUAGGGAAUCCUAGAAACUUUUGGUCAGAAUUUGUAUUCUUGCCCGGAGAACAUUUCUGUGCUUGUGCUAUGACUGGACACUGCUUUGGUCUUAAGUGAAGUGCGAUUUGCUUAAUGUGACCGUCUCUUCCUAAUUUGUUUACAGAAGAUCGAAAAGAUGACGAUGAAGAACAGAAAUACAGAGCCUGCAAAAAUAAACUUCUAAUGUGUCAAGUGGCCUACUACCUGGGCUGCCGGCUGAAGACGGAAGUCCCUGGCUUUCGGUGUACCGCCCCAAAUGUCAACACGGUGGCGUCUGGCCGGCCUCCCAGAAAAAUCCCAGAGAUGAACGUUCCAGAAGGCAUUGAGAAAUCCUGCUCCCAACAGGAAGAAAGCAAACCCAGUGUCGGAGCCAUCAAAAAGCGACUUCUUUUGAGCCUGGUGGCCUACUUCCUGAAGUACCGGCUGAAGUCAUACAGUAAGUUCUAUAGGUUGACUACCACGAAAGUGAUGCAUGACGUCCUGUGUUGUCUUGAGUCACUAACCAUUCUCUUCAACAAAAUUAAUUUCUUAUGCCCAUACUUGCAGAAAAUAGAAAUGGGUAUUUUAACAUUUUGGUCAAGAUGAAAGAUAGAGGCCAAAGUGUUUAGCAACUUUUCCAUGUCUACAGUAACGUGGGUGUGGGACUGGGGUCACAGUCGCAGCUAUCGAUGUCUGACACAGGCAUAGAACCACCUGUUUUUCUCAACAAGAGGCUAAAUCCAUGUUUGCAGGAAUCCUCUCUGUGCCAUACAAGAUCCUGCAGACAAGUAGCAUCUAGUCUGUUGGUCUAAAUGUCUGAGGCUACUGAACUUCCAUUUUGUUCCGGUUUCUGCUGAGGCCCAGUAGGCAAAGCAGUGUUCUGGGGACACUGGUGGGAACACUAUGAUAGCACACAGUUCCUGCUAUGGGGAGCUUAAAGGGGACCCUCCUCCGAUUAGACCCUGUGGUAUCUGAAAGUGGCAUCAUCAAGAGCAGGGAGUUCCCUGGUACUGGUGCCUCAGCCUCCCAAUCAGCUGGGAUCCCCGGUGGGCACCACCACACCUGGCUGACUAUUAUAUUUUCAGUUGGGGUGGGGUUUCCCCAUGUUGGCCAGGCUGGUCCUGAACUCCUGAGGUCAAGGGAUCUGCCCCCCGUGCCUCCUAAAUUGCUGAGAUUCCAGGCAUGAGCCACCAUGCUGGUUCCACAGAUUGUUUUUCCAGUAAAGGUUGUUAGAAUUCAUCAGUUGGUCCAGUCUCCUGUAGAAAUUUCUCUAACCAUUCACUGACCAUGAUAUAUAAUGAGAUAAAUCAGUAUGGCAGCAAUGCUUCUGGAAAGUAUUUAGGGCAAUUUUUGAAAGAUUUUGGGGAAAAUGUUUUAAUUUUUGCAUUGACUUAGGUCACAGGAUACGUGGUUAAGAUCUACCAGAUGAGGGAGAUUUUGUCCCCUGCAUCUGAAGAGCAGGCUCAUCCACUUCUAGGGUGACUUAUUCUAGGGCCCAUUAGAACAUUACCGUCAGAAUAACACAUUCUUACACUGAGAAUAUUUUAAGUUUCUGUGCUAUGAUUGGACACUGCUUUGGUCUUGUGUGAAGUGCGAUUUGCUUAAUGUGACCUGCUCUUCUGAAUUUGUUUACAGAAGAUCGAAAAGAUGACGAUGAAGAACAGAAAUACAGAGACUGCAAAAAUAAACUUCUAAUGUGUCAAGUGGCCUACUACCUG
rnacentral:lncRNA from 13 species